rnacentral:rRNA from 1 species
AUUGAACGCUGGCGGCAGGCCUAACACAUGCAAGUCGAGCGGAAGAGAGAAGCUUGCUUCUGUUGCUAGCGGCGGACGGGUGAGUAAUGCCUAGGAAUCUGCCUGGUAGUGGGGGAUAACGUCCGGAAACGGCCGCUAAUACCGCAUACGUCCUGCGGGAGAAAGCUGGGGAGCUUCGGACCUUUCGCUAUCAGAUGAGCCUAGGUCGGAUUAGCUAGUUGGUGGGGUAAUGGCUCACCAAGGCGACGAUCCGUAACUGGUCUGAGAGGAUGAUCAGUCACACUGGAACUGAGACACGGUCCAGACGCCUACGGGAGGCAGCAGUGGGGAAUAUUGGACAAUGGGCGAAAGCCUGAUCCAGCCAUGCCGCGUGUGUGAAGAAGGUCUUCGGAUUGUAAAGCACUUUAAGUUGGGAGGAAGGGCAGUUGCCUAAUACGUAGCUGUUUUGACGUUACCGACAGAAUAAGCACCGGCUAACUACGUG